rnacentral:rRNA from 1 species
GACGAACGCUGGCGGCGUGCUUAACACAUGCAAGUCGAACGAGAGCGUAGAGAAAGCUUGCUUUUUCUACAAUCUAGUGGCAAACGGGUGAGUAACGCGUAAACAACCUGCCCUACGGAUGGGGACAACAGCUGGAAACGGCUGCUAAUACCGAAUACGUUCCGAAAGUCGCAUGACUAUCGGAAGAAAGGAUGGCCUCUAUUUAUAAGCUAUCGCCGGAGGAGGGGUUUGCGUCUGAUUAGCUAGUUGGAGGGGUAACGGCCCACCAAGGCGACGAUCAGGAGCCGGUCUGAGAGGAUGAACGGCCACAUUGGAACUGAGACACGGUCCAGACUCCUACGGGAGGCAGCAGUGGGGAAUCUUCCGCAAGGGGCGAAAGCCUGGCGGAGCAACGCCGCGUGAGUGAAGACGGCCUUCGGGUUGUAAAGCUCUGUUAUACGGGACGAAUAAUCUUGUGGUUAAUACCCAUGAGAAGUGACGGUACCGUAAGAGAAAGCCACGGCUAACUACGUG